AUUGAACGCUGGCGGCAUGCUUUACACAUGCAAGUCGAACGGUAACAGGUUAAGCUGACGAGUGGCGAACGGGUGAGUAAUGCAUCGGAACGUGCCCAGUCGUGGGGGAUAACGCAGCGAAAGCUGUGCUAAUACCGCAUACGAUCUAUGGAUGAAAGCGGGGGACCGUAAGGCCUCGCGCGAUUGGAGCGGCCGAUGUCAGAUUAGCUAGUUGGUGGGGUAAAGGCCCACCAAGGCGACGAUCUGUAGCUGGUCUGAGAGGACGACCAGCCACACUGGAACUGAGACACGGUCCAGACUCCUACGGGAGGCAGCAGUGGGGAAUUUUGGGACAAUGGGCGCAAGCCUGAUCCAGCAAUG
rnacentral:rRNA from 1 species